rnacentral:rRNA from 1 species
UACGUAGGGUGCGAGCGUUGUCCGGAAUUACUGGGCGUAAAGGGCGCGUAGGCGGCCCGCUAAGUCGAACGUGAAAUCCCCAGGCUCAACCUGGGAACUGCGUCCGAUACUGGCAGGCUUGAAUCCGGGAGAGGGAUGUGGAAUUCCAGGUGUAGCGGUGAAAUGCGUAGAUAUCUGGAGGAACACCGGUGGCGAAGGCGGCAUCCUGGACCGGUAUUGACGCUGAGGCGCGAAAGCUAGGGGAGCAAACGGG